GGUAGCAGUGGACAGUAUUGUGAGGAUGCUGGUCAAGAGAUUAAGCAAAUUGCCUCCAGUCUGAAGGCUCCUCUUCACCCCCAUGCCAAGGAAGCAGCUGCCUAGGACAUCAAGAGGAAGCUGGAAGCUGGGCUCGGUUGCUUCUGUCUGCAAUCCUAGCACUUAGGAAGAUGAAGCAGGAGGAUUACCUUCAGUUUUGAGAGUUUCAUACCCAGCCCGGUGGGUUCUACAGUGAGCACCCAGGCUCAGGCAGCCUGGUGUGGAGACAAGUAGGAGGGGGAUCAAGAACUUGAGUGGCCUGCACUGCC